GGGCCCGCACAAGCGGUGGAGCAUGUGGUUUAAUUCGAUGCAACGCGAAGAACCUUACCUGGUCUUGACAUACACAGAAUCUUGUAGAGAUACGAGAGUGCCUUCGGGAAUUGUGAUACAGGUGCUGCAUGGCUGUCGUCAGCUCGUGUCGUGAGAUGUUGGGUUAAGUCCCGUAACGAGCGCAACCCUUAUCCUUAGUUGCCAGCGAUUCGGUCGGGAACUCUGAGGAGACUGCCGGUGUGAAACCGGAGGAAGGUGGGGAUGACGUCAAGUCCUCAUGGCCCUUAUGCCCAGGGCUACACACGUGCUACAAUGGCCGGUACAAACUGUUGCAAGCCAGCGAUGGUUAGCCAAUCAGAAAAAGCCGGUCUCAGUUCGGAUCGCAGUCUGCAACUCGACUGCGUGAAGUCGGAAUCGCUAGUAAUCG
rnacentral:rRNA from 1 species